CCUCGCGAGGGGGAAUCUGAAAGCAGGCGUAGGCAAACCUCUGGUCCGACGAAUAGAAACUUCGUGAGGCGGUAAUCAGGUGGAUAAGACUGCAAAACAAGUCGAAGUCCAAUGCUAUUCCGGAACCUGAAGCCGUAAACGAAGCGGAUAGAUGGAGGGAAAGAUAA
rnacentral:ncRNA from 1 species